ensembl:Y_RNA Y_RNA Y RNA
GGCUGGUCAGAUGGUAGUGGGUUAUCAGAACUUAUUAACAUCAGUGUCACUGAAGUUGGCAUUCAAUCCCCCCACUGCUAAAUUUGACUGGCUUUUA